UACAGAGGUCCCGAGCGUUGUUCGGAUUUAUUGGGCGUAAAGGGUGCGUAGGCGGCGGAGUAAGUUGGGUGUGAAAUCCCGAGGCUCAACCUCGGAAUUGCAUUCAAUACUGCUUCGCUCGAGUACUGGAGAGGAGGCUGGAAUUUACGGUGUAGCAGUGAAAUGCGUAGAUAUCGUAAGGAAGGCCGGUGGCGAAAGCGAGCCUCUGGAUAGUUACUGACGCUGAUGCACGAAGGCCAGGGGAGCAAACGGG
rnacentral:rRNA from 1 species